rnacentral:rRNA from 1 species
UGCAGUCGAACGAUGAUCCGGUGCUUGCACCGGGGAUUAGUGGCGAACGGGUGAGUAACACGUGAGUAACCUGCCCUUAACUCUGGGAUAAGCCUGGGAAACUGGGUCUAAUACCGGAUAUGACUCCUCAUCGCAUGGUGGGGGGUGGAAAGCUUUAUUGUGGUUUUGGAUGGACUCGCGGCCUAUCAGCUUGUUGGUGAGGUAAUGGCUCACCAAGGCGACGACGGGUAGCCGGCCUGAGAGGGUGACCGGCCACACUGGGACUGAGACACGGCCCAGACUCCUACGGGAGGCAGCAGUGGGGAAUAUUGCACAAUGGGCGCAAGCCUGAUGCAGCGACGCCGCGUGAGGGAUGACGGCCUUCGGGUUGUAAACCUCUUUCAGUAGGGAAGAAGCGAAAGUGACGGUACCUGCAGAAGAAGCGCCGGCUAACUACGUGCCAGCAGCCGCGGUAAUACGUAGGGCGCAAGCGUUAUCCGGAAUUAUUGGGCGUAAAGAGCUCGUAGGCGGUUUGUCGCGUCUGCCGUGAAAGUCCGGGGCUCAACUCCGGAUCUGCGGUGGGUACGGGCAGACUAGAGUGAUGUAGGGGAGACUGGAAUUCCUGGUGUAGCGGUGAAAUGCGCAGAUAUCAGGAGGAACACCGAUGGCGAAGGCAGGUCUCUGGGCAUUAACUGACGCUGAGGAGCGAAAGCAUGGGGAGCGAACAGGAUUAGAUACCCUGGUAGUCCAUGCCGUAAACGUUGGGCACUAGGUGUGGGGGACAUUCCACGUUUUCCGCGCCGUAGCUAACGCAUUAAGUGCCCCGCCUGGGGAGUACGGCCGCAAGGCUAAAACUCAAAGGAAUUGACGG